AACACAUGCAAGUCGAGCGGCAGCGGGAAGUAGCUUGCUACUUUGCCGGCGAGCGGCGGACUUUUGAGUAUGUCUGGGAAACUGCCUGAUGGAGGGGGAUAACUACUGGAAACGGGAGCUAAUACCGCAUAACGUCGCAAGACCAAAGAGGGGGACCUUCGGGCCUCUUGCCAUCAGAUGUGCCCAGAUGGGAUUAGCUAGUAGGUGGGGUAACGGCUCACCCUAGGCGACGAUCCCUAGCUGGUCUGAGAGGAUGACCAGCCACACUGGAACUGAGACACGGUCCAGACUCCUACGGGAGGCAGCAGUGGGGAAUAUUGCACAAUGGGCGCAAGCCUGAUGCAGCCAUGCCGCGUGUAUGAAGAAG
rnacentral:rRNA from 1 species